AGUCAUAAACGCCGGCACCGCUAUCUUCCGCUGCAAUCUCGACAAACCCCUCAAACAUCUCACCUUGGAUGACAUUUCCCAGCUCACCCGUGAAGAUUGUCACAGGUUCCUUCUUUCUUUCUCUCUCCCUUACAUUUUUUAUUUGCCAGCUCACCACUAGCACCGCCACUUUCCGCUGCAUUCUCUCUCACGACGAGAUUGUCUGUUUGAUCGAAUAGCCUGAAACCCAUGAUUUCUUAGAUACAGGUCUUCGACUUCUGCAAAUCAUUUCACAGAUCUCAUCAUUCUUCUUCCUCUUGAGGAGGACAAAAUGAAAGAGGGUUGAUGACGACGGAUGCUCUGAUGGUGAGAAAGACGACGAGCAUUGAGGGGAGGAAGAAUUCUUACAGUUGUUUAAUUUUUUGUCCAACUCAGACAUUAUUUUGUCAUAUUUGCCUCCACCUCACCAUUUUUAGUCAAAAAGUUUUUUCUAAACGGUCAACAUUACUUAGUUUAACAGACAUUUUAGAGCCUUUUUUGAAUCAUCAUGGAUAUUUUUGCUCACAA